rnacentral:misc_RNA from 1 species
UACCCGGAAUCAUUGCCGCGCCGACCGCCGUGAGGAGCGCGCAUCGUUGUGCCACGCUGUCAUUUGUCGCGUUUCAGAGAGCGCGCGUUUCGCCGCCCAGGGUGCACGGGGAGACGUAGUGCCGCCGGGAAUCGUCACGCGACGUGCUGAUCGUGAAAAUCUGUCCUUCGACGUUUGACGUUCCGACUAGGCUAGGUUAAAGGAUCUCCCGAGUGAUCUGAACUCGGAUCCAUGCGAAUUAGUGAAUCGUGUGCAUCGAUACGUGAGGAUCAAGUGUCAGUCGGCGGGAUUAUAACCUCGUUCACUCACGCCGCUCACACGGAUACGUAUACGGAUCGCUGUGCGCGCUCCCUUUUCAAACCCCUGAACGCUCACGACUCACUCGCGCACGGGACUGUGCCCGCACGCGAGCUGGAUUUCACGCCGAGAAACGAUAACCUCGACUUGUCUUUGAGCGUCCCGCAGCACCAUCAAGCACCGUACCACCACGACGGCUACAACAUGUCUGACCAGACGUUUCACACGCCGAGUUUCGGCGAUGAGGACUUCGAUAUACCGGCCAUUCACCCGCAUUCACAUCAGCAGCAGCAGCAACAUCAUCAACAACAUGACUCUAUGCAGGCAUAUGGUCAGCCGCAGAUGAUGCAAGCUAGUGGUAUGCAGCAGUCGCCGGACGGUCUGAGCCUGGAUGCUGGAGGGUAUCAGCAACAGCUCUAUCUGCAGCAGGAACACCCGAUGCAGCCGAUCAACGUUAGCUCGGCGUACGGCGGUUCUCAAAGCUCGUAUGCAACAAUGAGCUCUCCGCGCCAGCAACAACAACACAAUGGUCAACAGCUGCUGCUGAUGCAGCAGCAGCAACAGCAGCAGCAACAGCAGCAAGUUCAGAUGCAACAUAUGCAGUACAUGCACUCUCAGCAGCAGCAGCAGCAGCAGCAGCAGCAAUUACAGCAACAACAACAACAAAUGCAAUACAGAAGUCCGACCGGAGGCAGUCCGACUGCUAUGCAAGCUAAUAGUAUCCCGGAAACGAAUAACAACACUACGACCAGCGAAGAUAGCGACGACAGCACUCCGCACUCUGGAAUGAUUACGGUGGUUAAACGUGAGCCGCCAUCGCCAGAGGCAACCGAGGCUGGAGCGAAGAAUCAGAGGAAAGCGAAGCCACAAAAGAAAAAGAAGAAGAAAGAUCCCAAUGAGCCACAAAAGCCAGUGUCGGCGUACGCCCUUUUCUUCCGAGACACUCAGGCAGUGAUCAAGGGGAAGCAUCCGAACGCUAGCUUCGGCGAGGUAUCUAAAAUUGUCGCGUCAAUGUGGGACGCGUUAGAUAUUGAACACAAAAACUAUUACAAAAAGAAAACCGAGGCAGCUAAGAAGGAAUACUUGAAAGCUCUCGCGGCGUACAGAGCGUCAUUGGUGAGCAAAGGCGCGGGUGAGAACGAACAGAAGCAGCAGGCGCAACAGCAAGCGCAGCAACAAAUGCAAUACAGCGGAUACACGGGCUACGCCAGCAACGCUGCACCCGGGAGUGUAACAUAUCAGGUCUACAGUCCUCAGCAUGAACCUCCGUCGCCCCAACAGCAGCAGCAACAGCAGCAGCAGCAACAGAUGACUAUCAAUAAAAAGUCACCCCAUCACUUGGCGAUGCAAGGAAAUUCUCAACAACAGAGUUUAAUGAGCAACGUGAUGGCACCACCACACAUGACGCAACAGCAGCAGCACAUGCAACAGCAGGUCUCACAACAGCAAUAUAUGCAGGUGUCUCAGCAGCAGCAGGUGCAACAGGUGCAAGUGCAGCAACAACAGCAGCAGCAAAUAAUACACAUGAGCCCACCCAGAGCGGACUUUAUAAAAUCCGAGGAUAUAUCGAUAAAAUCUGACACUCUGUCGAGUUGUUCGUCGCCGGUGAGCGCCGCGCAAGUGGCCAUGACGGGGCAAGGCCCGCCGCCGUGCAUACAUCAAGGAUGCCCGAAUCCUGCCAUAUCCAAUAACGAGUGGGAGGAUGAGUACUGCAGUAACGAAUGCGUGGUCAGCCAUUGCAGGUUGGCGGACGUGUUUAACAACUGGGUAUCCUCAAAUCAAAAUCCACAACAAAAUUACUCCACGGUUAAAUAAGUGUCCCACGGGAGAACUAUCAACUACUCAAUGGCCUCACAGCUUAAUGAUCCAUUGUUAACCUGUAAAGAUUUACUGGCAAACGCGCGGUGAGGAAGGAUCGGCUCUUUCAAUCGAAUGGCUUCAACUUGUGUUUCGGAACAACUUUUUUACACUCGUCACAGUGCGACGCAGUCGGCAAACAUGAUACAGUACAAGCAAACGCGGAAGCAGCGUGUACAAGCCGCGAUAAACAAGGUUUCGUACCGUGUUCGACGCGUUCUGUUCGCGAUGUGAGAACAAUAGUGAUCAAAGGGAAGAGGAUUUACACGCACAGCGGACCCGUAUUACGUGCCAUGGCCAGUAACUGUCAUCUUUCGUUUUGAUACGCGAGUUUUUUUUUAAUUAAGAAUUUAGUAGAUGCACAAUGUUUUAAUUGCCCGAGAGAAUGACGCGUGCACUCCGUUUCAACUACAUCACUGCAUAAUUGAAUGAUUACUCUUGCAACACGCAAUCCUGGAAAAAUUAUGAUACUGUAAUUUUUUCAAGAUAAAAACAAGCUAUAUCAAGUUACAUUGCUACAUCGUUUAAUUUUUACUCUCAUCUCUCGUGUGUGUUGGCGUCACAUACGCAUUUUUUGUUUCUCCCUCGUAUUUUUUUUCUGCGAUAACGAUGAAAGAUACUUGAUGUAUUUUGUAUGAUAUUCCGAUCUCCGUGUUCUCCCUUCCGCGGAAGAGGGUUUCGUCACUCCCCCGUUUCGUUUGCGGGACGAGUAACACGGGAUACAAUAUUGACAACCGAUAAACGAAGCAUCGCAUCCGUAAUAUAAACACCGUGCAUUCUCGCAGAGAUAAAUAUUACACUAUUAAUAUUGUUAGCCCCGUCACGCAGUUUUAGAAGUUAGGUAUUACGCAUUUAGAGAUUAGGCCCGUAACCGAGUAAAGCCAGGACCUCAUUGUGCACAAUUUAUUUUUAUAUCGAUACUACAAACAACCGAUCAAUAGUACAGUACAGUUUUCAUACGCGAAAUUUCGUAAUAGCAAGGGGAAAAAAGUGUAACGUCAGAGCGGUCGAAGCGAUCGAGUGUCCGAUAUUUUUUUAAACGCAUUUCAACGUUGCACCACGUGCGAAAUCUUUCCCACUUGUUUUAAUCUUUAUUAAUGUCCUUGAAGAAUACAUCGCCGGUGGCGAAUGCAAAUAAUCUGGCCAUCUUAAUAAACCGUGCAAAAGAUUGCUUUCUGAGUACAAAAGGGACAGAAAAUUCGCGUUGUUCGGUUUGCUCGAUGGACACGGGGAAUCGGCGUUGCUGGCGGUGAAACAACGCGUUGAGCGUCGUGCGAAUAGUAUUCCGUAUUCUCGAUCUGCUUUCCGGAUUCAGUCGCGACGGUCAGAUCAGUUGCAUUUCAUAUUCAUGCGACCUCCGGUUGAGAGGCGUUCGUAGGCCUUGAAAUAAACCGGUGUGAACAAUCUUCCCGUACACGAGCAAAGAGACGUGUGUCGUUCCGUGCUAAGUUCAUCAGCAAUGAUUUCGCGAUCUCCGACGCGGAUAUGCAAAUUGUCUGUUAGUAAAAAAUAUCGAGAAAAAGAGAGAAAAAACGCGUCUGUUGGCAGUUUGUUCGAACGGACUGAUUUCGUUUUUUCUUCGUUUCUUUAUACGGAUUAUAGCGAAUGUUUUUUCAUAUCUUUUUGUAAAUACACAGAAUAUAUAUUCCGUAGAUUUGUAAGGCUAUAAUAUAAACACAUACAAUAGAUAUUGUAUCAUAUAUUAGUAUAAUACAAUUUGUAGUAUAUUAUGCAGGCAUAUAAAUAUAUACACACACACAUACACACGGGUGCUCGGAAUUUUCCGAUAGUCGAUCCCCACGAGCUCGGGGUCUUAAAUUAUUCGGGUUAUUCGCGGGCAGAUGUAAUUCCGGCAGCUGGAAUGCCGAGCGGAAUUAAACGACGUAUCUCGAGAAGGGAGCAAUAAAUACUUCGACUAUUAAAUAGUCGGAUUCUAACAUCCUUCUCACGAUACAUCUAGCUUCGCUCUUUUUGCUCUUUUACCUAAAAUUCGUGAUCGAACCGAUGAUCGGUCACCGUUCUAUCGAACGAUAAUUUGAGCAAUUUAAGAUUUCAGCUCGAGAUCUAAACUGCUUGGAUUGCUUAUGUCCGAUUGGAAAAUUGCGAGCGCUAAAUAUGUAUAUAUGUAUAUAUAUGUAUGUACAUGUAUAUAUAUAUACAAUGUGUCCUAUUGAAGUAUUCAGACAGAAUUUGAAAAUGAUAGAUUUUAGGUAAAAAUGUUUCAAACAAUAGCAUACGAGUAUAUGUGUGCGUGUGUGUGUGAGAGAGAGACGCCGGAGACAUAUUUUUUGGUGGACAAAAUGCCUCCGUUUCGAACAUUAGUUUUAGAACGAAGACGCUGCUGUCCACGAGAGAACGAUUUCUCCCGCGAGCAAGCCUCUUUUGUUUCAGACGUUUUGCGGAAAAGGAUAUCCUAUCAUUUUUGAAUCGUUAGGCGUGCUAUUUCAAACAGGACAUCCUGUAUGUAUGUAUAAAUAUAUGUAUAUUCUUUUGACCUUACAUGUGUGUAUGCGCGCAUACAUGCAUGCAGGGUUAAAAGGAUAAUUAUACUUGAUCAACUUCGAUAAGAUUGGAUAUAUUAAUUUACCCGAAACAGCCCGUUUAGACAACGGGACUGUACAAAUAUAUUUGCGAGUUAAUAGACUAGUAAUAAAGGAGGAUGCGACGAGGAGGGGGAUGGAAACGGAAGCGAAUUUCCAGUCGCUCGUGCGUGAAAACGCAGAAGUUUCGAUAGAAAUAUAAGUGCAUGGGCAUUUCGACGAGCGAAACCUCUCGCGACCGCGAUCCGCCGCCACGCAGAGUUCCGCAGAGUUCAUGCCAUUCGUUCGGUCGAUCGAGAUGUCCGUUCUUGACGCUUAUGUUCCUAUAUAGAUUUCUGUGCAGGGGGCCCGGUCCUCGGCAACACGAGAAACAAAAAAGAACGCAACUUUUGCAACGUUGAUCAUAAUCAUAUAAAUCUGUACUAAAAGAAAUAAAUUUAGAAGGUAUCGAGCAUGUAUUGUAGCGCUAGCACUAUACAUCAAAUGCUAAUAUAUCACGGUGAUUUCCAAUGAAUUUAUGUUAAAUUUUUAUUGUUUUAUGUACAAUGACAUAAUUAAACGAUUUCAGUCCCGACAUCAC